AGCACUGUGGUUUAGUGGUUAGCACGCCUGCCUCGCACUGCCGGGGUUGGGGGUUUGAACCCUCCCCCUGUGUGU